CGUGACUGUAAGGGAGGCAGAGAAGGGGCCGUUCCCAGCUGGGAAAACAUUAACUUUUAUUCAACUUGCAGUGCAGAACAGAGGACUGAAGAGAAACUUGGAGGAAAGGGAAAUGUGUCUGAUGGGGCUCUGAGAGUUCAGCACCACAGACUGGUCCAAUGGCCACUGGCCAGGCUGCAAUCAGAUCCCCUGGGGCCCUUUGCCACCACACCUGGGGACUCUUGAGCCCCCAUCCAAAACUGAACUGGGAUACCUGACUCUGGGAAAAUUCUUACAGCCUAGUUUAGAAAUGUCUUUGAAGAAUCUGGAGAUUGUUAAAAGCAGAUGUCACAACUGUCUUGAGCAUAGUGAGAUGGGGGAAAAGGAGCUCUCCUGAGAAGUCUGACAGUCUGCCACAAAGAAAUUGGUACAAAAGCUGUGAGCCCCAAGCUCCCACGGAGAUGCACCAUCUUGUGAGAAUUAACAGAAGUCAGACACGUAAGAUCUUUGCUUCUUUUAGAAACCUUAUCAGCUCUAUUUCUAGUAGCAACCUGGCCUAUUCCCUCAGAAGAGGGAAUGUUACCUGCUUCUUCCACCUCUUUUAUAUAGUGAAGAAAUUAGUUCAAUUCAUAAAGAUGAGAGGCAUUUGACCUCUCACCUCUUCAUGCUGAAGUUAGCCACACAUUUCAGUCAUUGCAAAUCUGGCGGUGUGGUAAAGAAUGGUUUAUUCUAGAAUAAAGUAAGCUCACCACAAGAGGUAUUUAUAUCAUCAGAAGAACCUCUACCUCAUUUGAAGCUUCCCAAGCAUUCUCCCCACCCCCGCACUCCAUCUCCUUUUCCAGAUUUUGCAUAUGUGUCUUUCCAGGUCAAGAAUUACGUGAGGCACCUGGAAUUAUGUGCUUGGCCUCCUUUAUUAUACUUCCAGUAUCUCAUUAGACGAGGGAUCUUUCAAAGGGCAAGAACAUGUUGAACAGCCAGCAGUUUUCAGAAACAGCAGGUGACUAAAAAUACUUCAUUUUCUUUGCUACUCAGGCCAUGACAAAUGUAAGCCUGGACUGGGCUGCUGAAGAAGUAGGAGACAAUAAAAAGACAAGUUAGAUGUAGAGGAAGUCCUCUGACCUUUAGAAAGAAACAGCUAUCACUUCCAAAAGCAUCCUGCUUUUUUGUCAAGUUUCAAGUAAAACACUGAAUACACGUACAGUGUCACUUGAAGAAAUACAAAUAAGGAAUACUUGCAGAGUAAUUCAAAGAGAUUAUUAUGAAGUAAUUGAACAUUGAGGUCUACUAGAUUGAAAUCUACCAGAAAAUACUUGUUGGCAGGUCAGUCAACAAAAAGUCGGUCUACAUAGUUCCAUUUGAAGAGCUUCUCAUUUUACAUUUUUUAUGCUGUUUUGCUUAGACACUUCAUAUAACAGUGCAUGCCUUUGAUCUUUAACAGAAACCUUCCUUCACCAUUAAAACCCCCAUUAAGUCCCUUAAAGUUACAUUUGAAAAUAAUUCUAGCUUCUAAGUGACUUAUAAACUUUAUACAGUUAGCUCUUCUGGGAGGAUUCCUUUUCCUCAUGUGAGUGUGUCAAGUUGGAUUGCCUGAUACUUGUGCUUAGUUUUCACCAGUUUAUCAGUAGUUCAGAAUGGUAUCUGUCUGAUGACUGUAUUUGUACAUCGAGAGAACAAACAAAUUACAAGCAAAUGCUGCGUGUGAUGUGAAACUUGCAGGCGUGUGCUACCUUGUCAAUUUUUGCUUCUAUUGCACUAGAAACUUCAAAUGUCCAAGGAGGAGUCCCAUUUCAAAUAGUGCUUUACUACUUGGUACCUGCUGGACAGAAAUCAAUGGACUUUCAGUCAUGCUGAUUUCUUUCUGCUAAGCAUAAGUUCAUAGUUGUUAAAGGUCCCUUCCUCAUUCUGAAAACAAUCUUGGGAGUUCACUCAUCUAAAGAUGAGCAAGGAGGAUGCAUAAGAAACACAAGAUUUUGCAGAGAAAGGAACAAAAUAAAUAUGCAGCCCAGAGAUUUUAUGUCAGCAUCCAGUCCAUUAACUCAAGCUGAUCCAAGUUAGUUUGCCUCUGGCUCUUUCUGCCCCUUCCUCUCUACCCUUACUACGUUUUAUGCUGUUACAAGAGGGAUGGAUUUUACUGUAUGAGAUUCAAUGUCCACCAUGUGUUCAUGCAGCACCACUGUGCUACAUGUCAUUCAUAAUGUUCAUGGUUGUGGCCAUGCAACAUAAAUUAACACAAAAUUAUCCUCUGGAAUGCUGCAGUUGACAGCUAUUUUACUAUAUUCUGUUAUGGUCUGCAGCCUGAAUUGGCCAUCAACAUUCUUUCUGUUCUUAAAGACAGAAUGAUCAUGGUUAUUUACAGGGUUAUAAAGCUAUGGAGUCUUCCUGUAAAAUCGCAGUGUGGAAUUUGUUGUGAACAGAAUAGAGCUGACUACAUUGCUAUAGCAGAAUAACUUGCAGCCAGAAUUGAAUUACAUUCUUAAAAGCUAUUUUUAACAAUGUUUUCAGAAAUAGAUUGCUGUUGCUUGAUUUUUGUCCUACUUGUUUUUGAACUGUAGGGAAAACCUGACAUUAUCAUGUUAAUGCAGUUUGUAUUGUAUGGAUAUGUAAUACAAAUGUGUUUUCAUGAAAACCCACUUGAAGUUACUGUGUUGAACCACUCAAUACAGCUGGAUUAUUUUCAGAUUCUCUGUAAAUUCCUGAUCGCAAGGUAAUUCAAACAAACAAUUCUCACAGACUUUCUUGGAAGCCCAUGCAGGAUUAAUCUAAACAGGAGGUACAAUAGAAAGCUCCACUUUAUUAUAGGACCAGAGUUUAUCCAUUGACUUCAGCACCCUUCAGAGUGUAAAGCACAUGAGUUCUUCUUUUCUUGUCUAAACUAUUUUGAAUGAGGUCUCUUUACAUGCUAGUUUGGCAAGCUUCUAAGGCAUUUGUGCAAAGUGAUGAUCCAAGAGCAACCUGAUUCAAUACUGAGAAAUUCAUAAAUAACAUCCAGCAGUAAUUAAAGUGAAAAACUACAGCUAAGAAAA